UACAGAGGUCCCAAGCGUUGUUCGGAUUCACUGGGCGUAAAGGGUGCGUAGGUGGCUGGGAAAGUUUGAUGUGAAAGCUCAGGGCUCAACCCUGAAAUGGCAUUGAAUACUACUUAGCUGGAGGUUUGGAGGGGGGACUGGAAUUCUCGGUGUAGCAGUGAAAUGCGUAGAUAUCGAGAGGAACACCAGUGGCGAAGGCGAGUCCCUGGACAACACCUGACACUGAGGCACGAAAGCUAGGGGAGCAAACAGG
rnacentral:rRNA from 1 species